rnacentral:rRNA from 1 species
UGAACGCUGGCGGCGUGCUUAACACAUGCAAGUCGAACGAAGCACUUUAUUUGCUUUCCUUCGGGACUGAUUAUUUUGUGACUGAGUGGCGGACGGGUGAGUAACGCGUGGGUAACCUGCCUUGUACAGGGGGAUAACAGUUGGAAACGGCUGCUAAUACCGCAUAAGCGCACAGCAUCGCAUGAUGCAGUGUGAAAAACUCCGGUGGUAUAAGAUGGACCCGCGUUGGAUUAGCUAGUUGGUGAGGUAACGGCCCACCAAGGCGACGAUCCAUAGCCGACCUGAGAGGGUGACCGGCCACAUUGGGACUGAGACACGGCCCAAACUCCUACGGGAGGCAGCAGUGGGGAAUAUUGCACAAUGGGCGAAAGCCUGAUGCAGCGACGCCGCGUGAGCGAAGAAGUAUUUCGGUAUGUAAAGCUCUAUCAGCAGGGAAGAUAAUGACGGUACCUGACUAAGAAGCACCGGCUAAAUACGUG